AAUAUGAUGUUAGCAUUACGGUAUUUGAAAGUCGGAUAUGAUAUAAAGCAUAAUGCUUAUGACUGGUCCUAUCCCCUAGUAACAUAAAUCAAAAUGUUCAAGUUAAUGAGAGAAAUUAUGACCAAUGCAAGAAUCAAAAUCACUUGCUGCCUUUUAAAUAAAUGUUUUAUCUAAAACAAUGAUAAUGUGCCAACAAAAAGGAAAUUAAAACACAUACUCAUAUCCAGUAUCUGCAGUUUAAAUGCUGUAGGAAGAAUUUCAUCUUGAAAUGAGUUUUUAACUACCAUUUUACCAUUUACCCAGCCACCAUUGGGUCUUGAGGGUGUUUAUGAAUCUAAUGUGUGUGUCAGACACAUUCUAAAGCAGAAUUUGUGGCUAUAUUCACUCAUAAAGUUCCUAGGAACAGGGAUUUUUUUGAACAGAAAAUUUUUAUUAUAAGACUCAAUCAAAUUUUAACAUGUCUACCUGAAACCUACUCUUCAUAUGAAAUCGGCCAUUUUACCUUCAAAGUUCACAUUAAUGACAUACAUAAGUACUAUAUGUGUAAUGGAUAGCAACAUCUGAUUAAUACAAGUUAAAUAACAUUAUUCAAUUUGCCAAAUAAAAUUAAAGCAUAUAGCUGGAAUUGAUUAAAGAUGUUCAUCAAG
rnacentral:lncRNA from 1 species